AUUAAUCCCAAAUCUCCUUCUUCCUUUUCCCCCCCCUUUUUUCAUUUCCAUCCAAUUAAUAAAAUAAACAAAACACACACAGAAAAUCACAGCAGCAGAAGAAAAAAAAAGAAAACUUCCUUGUUCUUCCUCUUAUCCCACAGAGCUCCAUUGAUGAGCUGAUCGGCUUCCACACAAUUCUUGUCUCUUCUUUAUGAUGCGCGCCCAUCUCACCUUAUGGCCGUCAUCUUCAAACCCAUCGCCUUAUCUUUCUUCUCUCCACUUCUCUCCUCCUCUCUCCUCCUCCUCUUUCCUCUUCAGCUUCACACCCAACAAACGCUUCCACUUCCUCAAGACCUGUUCCUCUCUCAAGCAAUCCAAGAAGCCUUCUCUUCAGAAGACUCCCACUACCGCCCCUCAGAGUUUCAAGUGGCUCUUUAGCCCCAAGUCCGACGACGAUGACGCCACCGCCGCCGCCGCCGAUAAAGGGAAUAAGGACGCCGAGGACGAUACUGCUCUUAAGGGUACCCUUUUGGCCGGUGUGUUGCUUCUUGGGAUUAUUGGUGGAUUUGCAUUUGCUGGAUAUGUUUACAAGGAUCCGAUUAAUGCGUUCUUGAAUCAGUUCUCCACGUUUAUUGACGGAUAUGGUCCAGCAGGAUAUGCUUUGUUCGUAGCAGUGUAUGCAGGAUUGGAGAUCCUUGCAAUUCCCGCCAUUCCAUUAACAAUGUCAGCUGGACUCCUGUUUGGCUCUGUAAUUGGGACGAUUAUAGUUUCUAUUAGUGGAACGGUUGCUGCAAGUGUUGCCUUCUUGAUUGCUCGGUAUUUCGCUCGUGAGCGUAUUCUUAAGCUUGUAGAAGGAAACAAGAAAUUUGCUGCCAUUGAUAAAGCCAUUGGAGAAAAUGGUUUCAAAGUAGUCACCCUCCUACGUUUGAGCCCUUUGCUUCCAUUUUCUCUGGGAAACUAUUUAUAUGGACUCACAUCUGUCAAGUUUGUCCCCUACGUGUUAGGAAGUUGGCUGGGGAUGCUUCCGGGAACGUGGGCUUAUGUGAGCGCGGGUGCGUUUGGACGAGCAAUUCUUGUAAGUUUCCGAUUUGGUUCAUCUCUUAAUUUUACUUGGGAUGUUUCAGCAAGAAGAAUCUGAAGUUGGUUUGCUAGGAGGAGGAAAUGGUCAGCAGCUAUGGACGCUGGGACUUGGAUUGUUGGCAACCGCGUUUGCUGCUGCAUACGUUACACGAUUAGCCAAGGAUGCUAUGAAGGAUAUUGAAUAGACAUGACCCCUUGAGGAAUGUAGUAGGUAUAAAUUAAAAUUCAUAAUUGAAUUUUUGAAGAAAAUGGCUAAUUCUCUGUAUAUUUUGUAUUUGUCCAAUUAAUAGAGAGCCACUGCUCUUCCUGCUGCUCAUGAUGUACAAUAUUUACCAUAAUCAAUAUAAUUAACUAAUCUCUAAUUGUGAUCUUAA